rnacentral:lncRNA from 1 species
GUGAGAUCGAGUCCUCAUGUAUGCAAUAAUAUUUUUGCGGUCCACGAAAACUAUUCUUGUUAGAAGCCCACUUAACUAACUCGUGGCCCUGUGCCGAUGAGAGAAGGCCCAACAACAUACACAUAUGAUUCUAAAAAUGCAACGUACACGAAAAGUCCCUUGUGAUCACGACAAAUGGUUGCCGCUGCACCUUUGCUGCCAUUCCUGGAGAUACCCUCAUCAACCUGAAUCUUGGCUACUCCCUGGGUAGGAGCAAUCCACCGAGUCGGCCUAAUCCUGGGGGCACCCGCGGUAGAACAAGUUCCUCAUGUCUCCUUUUUUUAUGCUUGCAAGUUCAGCGAUAUAGUUUGUUACAAAAACAUUAGUUGCAUGGGAGCUCUGCAAAAUUUCUUCGUGGAUAGCUUUACGGCGAGCAGACCAAAUAGCCCACAAAGUAACCGGCUCUUGAAGCUCUUUCAUGUCGGGAAGCUAUGGCUCUAGCGCUUGAUCUGUCCUUGAAUCAAGUUGUUAUUGCUUGUGAGUGUAAAGCAGUUGUUGUUAGAGACAUUAAGUCUGGCACAGAGGGAAGAUAUAGUUCCAUCAUCAAGGAGAUACAAAUUAUUGCUCUUAAUUUUACUAUGUGUAAGUUUGUUUUCGAAUGGUGAGAAAGAAAUGUUGAUGCCUAUAAUGUAGCUAAAUUUGCUUCUGCUUUAGAUGAUGGGCACCACCUGUGGCUGGGUUCACCCCAUGACCCUUUUGUCAUACCUGUAAACCAUUCCCCUAAUCAAUAAAGGCUGGUUACCACUCAAAAAAAUGGAAAUGCAACAUACACUGAAUGAAUAAUAAUAACUAAACCUUCUAUAUGCCUUAACACAACACGUGUGGAUUAUUGAUGGCAAGGCUAGCGAUGCGGGCUCUCGAGGUUGCCUGUUCGAAUCCUCAAGAACAUACCAUGGCUGGAAACUUUAUUAUUUACUCCACGGGAUUAGCAAUAUAAAACCUUAAUGCCUUGGUUAGAAAAAAUAAAGAAAGAUAGGGACUAUUCCAUGAAAAUGCGACCAUGAACCAACGGAAGCAGCAACCCUUUUAUUAGAGCCUUAUAUCUAUUCUAUUCUAUAUGCCUUAACACAACACGUCUGGGUUGGUGAUGGCAAGGCUAGCGAUACGGAAUCCCGAGGUUGCCUGUUCGUAUCCUCAAAAACAUACCAUGGCUGAUUUUUUUAUUUACUCCACGGGAUUAGCAAUAUAAAACCUUAAUACCUUGGUUAGAAAAAAUAAAGAGAGAUAGGGACUAUUCUAUAGAAAUGCUGACGUUGAACCGACGUAAGCAAUAGCCCUUUUAUAAGUAGGUAUAUAUAUUCCGAAGACCAUGUUUAUCUUGGUAUUCAUACUAAUAUGGUUGUAUGCAUCCCUAGUUGGUGCAGAGGCCGAGAAGUAAAAUUCUCCUAAUUUUUAAAUCUGGCAGCCCUCGCGUCGCCCUCCCCCUAGGAUGACUCGGGGGGAGCCCGGAAACCUAGCCGCCGCUGCCAAGCACUCCCUCCUCCUCUUCCUUCGCCGCCGCCGCGGGACGUUGCCGAGCUAAGCCCGGGGGCCGACGGCAGUGGCGGGGGAUCUCCUCUCUCACGCGUCUUAGGGUUGGGGUGGGACCCCAAGGCGUGUGGCGUGGCGGAUGGCCGCCCCGUCCUCGGGCGGCGGCUAGGCACGGUGGGCGGCCCAGGCACGGACGGCGGCGUGGGUUGCGGGCGCAGCUGCCGGCCUUUCUAGGCUGCGAUGACGUGCAAACUUUCUUCAGAUCGGCAGCGGCGGCAUGGAGGGCCUGGUGGUUUCGUCGGCAGCACAUCCGGUCAGAUUUGUUCUGACCGAUGCGACCGCGGUGGUGGUCAUCUCUUCCGUCAGAGGUGGUCGGCCUGAGGCUGGGUGUUCGGAUCUCCGAAUCCGUGAUCCAGUACUGGCUGCGAGUAGGGGAGACAUAGUUGCCGGUGAAAACCGAGCCGACGGCGAGCGACGGCGGCGUUCUAUGUCGUUACCUUGAUGAAGGCAUCGUUGUGUGACUUAUAUCGACCCACUCGUACUGCUCUGGGGGAAACCCUAGGAUCUGGUCUUCCAGAUCGGACGAUGACGGUACUGCGGUGUCGUUUCUCUCUUGUGAGCAUCGUUUGUGGAGCAGUGCUGGUGGUCAGAGGCAGGAGGUGGAGCGGCUUCAUCUUGCACGGAGCUUGUCAUGCCUGGUCGGCAGGUGCUACACACGACAGAUCUUCCAGAGACUUCAAGCUGUGUCGGCUGGUGGUACUUGGCGGCAUGGAGCUGAGGUGUACCGGCGGCGACCGCGACGUGCUCAGCAGUUCGCGCGUAAGAUGGUGGUGCCGUUGGGCGCCGUGGUGGCGUUGACGGCAGAUAAACCACGCAAGGAUGUUGCGUCAGUACAGCUCUGAAGAUGGAGUAGUGGUAGUUGGCGGCGGCGGCCUCUCAGAGCAUGCCGGACCGGUGGGUGCCCCAUACCCGGCAAGUGGCUUGGUUGGGGCAUCAGGUCUUAGAUGUUAGGCUUGUCUGCGAGGUCUGUGGUAUUAGGCCCGGACUAUCAGCAUCCCUUCAUCAGAUGGAUAGGAGUAGCGUCAGUUGUCGCCUAGACGGUGACUUCAGACUUAUUGUUAUAUUUCUUUGUAAGGUCUUUUGUGAAUAAUUAAUAAAAUGGAUGCAUGCAUCGUUCAGAUGCAGAGGUCGGGGGACGAUCCUCCUUUUCUAAAAAAAACAGGUAUAUAUAUAUAUAUAGUUAUAGAUAAUGAUUCCUUGUAAAAAAACUAGUUUUGAAAUAAGUACUAUAUUCAUGGCAUUUGCUCCCAACUCUAAAUAACGAGUAAUCCUCGGGGUGAAAAACAUGUGCAUAAAACUAAUAUGGAUGGUUCCAAUGUNNNNNNNNNNNNNNNNNNNNNNNNNNNNNNNNNNNNNNNNNNNNNNNNNNNNNNNNNNNNNNNNNNNNNNNNNNNNNNNNNNNNNNNNNNNNNNNNNNNNNNNNNNNNNNNNNNNNNNNNNNNNNNNNNNNNNNNNNNNNNNNNNNNNNNNNNNNNNNNNNNNNNNNNNNNNNNNNNNNNNNNNNNNNNNNNNNNNNNNNNNNNNNNNNNNNNNNNNNNNNNNNNNNNNNNNNNNNNNNNNNNNNNNNNNNNNNNNNNNNNNNNNNNNNNNNNNNNNNNNNNNNNNNNNNNNNNNNNNNNNNNNNNNNNNNNNNNNNNNNNNNNNNNNNNNNNNNNNNNNNNNNNNNNNNNNNNNNNNNNNNNNNNNNNNNNNNNNNNNNNNNNNNNNNNNNNNNNNNNNNNNNNNNNNNNNNNNNNNNNNNNNNNNNACAAUCGAAUAUGUCAUGCGUCCCAUGUUUAGGCUGCCUUGGACUAUGGUCAAUAGAGCUGUUCUUACCACCACUGGUUUCUGGUAGGAAGUUAUAUUGCUGGGUAAAAAGAUCUAGCAUAAGUGCUUCACAGAGCAAAAUGGCACAUAUCAUCGUCCUGUAGAUGCAUCAUUAUUAUUUAGUCUAACCUCUCUCAGCUCGCGUGCAUCAACUAGUUGAUGUUGACCUUGAUACAAAAAAUGAAUGGCAUUCAUAAUCAUUCAGAGUUGGUCAUGUUAGAGCGAUAUAUAUGAAUGAUGUUAGGCCUGGAAAAAAAGUUGGAAGCUCGCGAGCUAAACGAGUUGCUCAUGACUCGGCUCGAAUCGAGCCGAGCCGAGCCAAGCUUUAUUUUAAGAUUGUUUAUAGAUCAAGUUAAACGAGACAAGUUCACGAGUACUCGUGUAACUCGUUAGGUUCGAUAUAAACAUCAGCCAUCUAGUGUCACCACGCAUCCCAGGCCAUUCCUAUGGACACAACAUUGAACCCAUCUGCAAAACACUAGGCUGAGCUGUCAAGGAGACGCAUGCCAAGAUUCCUUGCCUUACAUUCCUGGCGAAAUAGCGAGAUACCAAUCUUUCGAUUCCCUUCUUAUCUUCUAUGUUUCUGAAUCGUGAGUUCGUGAGAACAACAAUGCCACAUAAACACAUAUCCCUCGGGUCAUGUACAUGUUACUAAAUUAUUCAUUAUUAUGGUCAUGUACAGGUUACUGACUUGCUGAUUAUUAUGAUCAUGUACAUGUUAUUGACUUGCUAAUACAUUGAUGGUACUAAAGGUUAUAAAUUAAGCUACUUACAAUUUUUUGUGAACAUUGUGUAUGCUUAUGUUACAUUCUCACUUAAUAAUUUGUGCCAUAUUCAUAAGAAUUUUUAUCAUUAUUUAUUUUUAUAUCACUAACGAGCUAAAUGAGCUAUAUAUCACUAACGAGCUUAACAAGCCAAAUAAGCUAGCUCGCGAGCUAUACAAGUCGAGCUAAUCUUGGACUUGAGCUCGUUAUAGUAACGAGUCGAGUCGAGCUAGCUCGUUAAUCAAACGAGCUCUAGCGAGUCGAGCCGAGCUGUCUCGGCUCGGCUCGAAUUCCAGCCCUAGAUGAUGUGAUUCAUACAAAAUGUACGUGAGAAAGUAUAUGCGUGAGAGCCACUCAUCACGUAUGCGUGUCGGCCUACUUCUCAACCAACACAAAUGAUCACUAUGUGUUGUGAUAUAUCCGAGUCUACUUCCAUAUACGUAUUACACUAUCGUGUCAUUUACUUAGCCACUUUUGUAGGAAAUGAGAUACUGGAGUCAGCCACAGUCCACAUGAUCAACUGAGUGUGUCAUGAGACUUAUAUAGCUGGAUAAGAAUAUAUGGCACAAGUGCUUUACAGAGUGGAGAGGCAUGGAUCGUUCUCUUGCCAUAGCACUCUCCACAAGCUUAUUCCGCGCUACCAGGGUAGAUCCUUCAACAUUUGGCGUCAUGUGUGUAAUAUAGAAAAAUGAAUUUCAGUUUAAAGAAAGGAUGGAAUUGCGUGAGGCACUCAUCACAAAUCCAUGUCAUAGCUUCCCGCCUAACAGAUACAUACAUGACGCGUUUGGUUGCUUUUCUUAGCAGGGCCUGGUCAAGAGGAUAAAAACGGAACAUGCUGAGGAGGGGCUGGUUUAGGAAAUACAGGAUAAAAUACGAUUUUUAUGUGUUGUUUGGUCGUGUGUAUAUAAUAUCUUGCCAUCAAAAAAUAAUUUGUAUCCGAUAUUUGGUUGCAUACAUGGAUGAUGAUUAAGAGUUAAUAACUAUACUUAAUAGGAAGAUUAUAGGGAAAAUAUAAGUAACAGUGUGUGCACGGAAUCCUUUCGGUGCGGCGGCUCGCAACGCACUGCGUGAGCAGCGAAAUCGUUUUUGCACUGCCACUCUAGAGUACUAUAGCUGCUGCUGCACUAUCACCAGAAUCUUUCCUGCUUAGUACUACGUUGCUGCGUUGAUGACGCUAGGGGUGCCAACCGCACUGAUUUUACAGUGCUACACUAUCAUUCACAUAAAUGUGCUACAGACUUUGCGACACUAAUGUGCUACCUUUUUUCAAUGGACACACACACCAUUUUAACAACUGUCUAAUCUAGGGAUUACUUAAACAUGAUAACAAGCAUUGUUUUAGAGCAUAUAUCUCCAUAUGUGGUUUUGGUAAUUGAUGACAAUUCCUAUGGACUAAUGGUUGUCUUAAGUUAUAUUUAUAGGAUUUGUCCAUAGGCACUUCUUGAAGUCCAUUUGUUGGGUUCAAGGAGUUUAUAUGAUGACCAAGAUGGUAUUCAAGGUAUUAUUCAAAGAAUGGUCAUAGAGACACAAGGUUGAUCAAGAUCUCAGACAAAGAGUAAAUCAAGAUGAUCAACACACAAAGCGUACAAGAUGUACCGAGAGGGAUCAAGUGAUCCCAUGGUAUGGUAAGCAUUGUCCAUUACGUGUUUGUAUACUAACCCAUUGUCUUCGUGAGAGUUCUAUGCGGGGGUUAGGUGUGUUUCCAUGGGCUUGCGUCAAAAGGAAGAUCUCAUACAACCCAUGAAGGAUGACAUCAAGUGGUGAUCGUCAUCAAGAUUGCGGUGUGCAAGUUCAAGUGGAUCAACACGAAUAUAUCAUGCUUGAUGCUUGCCGUCCAUUGUGGUGGCAAUGGACUUGUGAAGAUAUGCUAAAGAGUGGCUCACCCAUAGUGAGUAUGACGGAGCAAUCAACUAGUCUUCAUCAAGCCAACGCAAUCAAGAAAGGUGGUCCAUCUUGAGGAAGCCAAGAUCUUCAUCAUCUAGCUCAAGAGGUCGAUGUGCAAGGUAUAGGUUUGCCCUUGAUAGGUUUUCUGUUUUAGGAUAGAUUGUUGUACUGUCAAGGGGGGCUCUCAAGUGAGUAGCUUGAUCGUAUCGUUCGUUGAGAGCUCAAACCAUUUGCAUCCUUGCAUCAUACUUCUUGGUUCUUAUUUGGUGUUUCUAUUUAUGAGUUUUAGAGCUUAUGGUCAUCUUCAUGACAAGCUCGAGUUCAUCGAAAACGGAGUCCAUAUGCAUCUACUAUGAUGUUUUCGAUGUUGGAGUUUUUGCCGGUUCUUCAUUCAUAGAGGACUCACAUCUCUAUAUCAUUGGCUGUUUGGAUAGCUCUUGUCGUCCUGAAUCCAACAAGCUUGGGUUUGCUCGAUUCGGAGCUCGUAUGCGAAAGUUAUGGCUCUUUCAGUGGCGAGCGGUAGUACCGCUGGACCUAGCGGUAGUACCGCUGGCCCUAGCGGUAGUACCGCUAGAGCUGGCGGUAGUACCGCUGUCCCAGCGGUACAGCGGUAGUACCGCCCCUGGUCAGCGGUAGUACCGCUCCAGGACUUUAGUACCGUCAUCUUUGCGGUUGUACUACGUCAGACUUUUUGCGAAGACUUUCUUGGCGGUGGUUGGCCCGGUAGUAUCUUUGUGCUACCAUGGGCUCAUCGGUAGUAUCGCUGCAGCCAGCGGUAGUACCGCUAGAGGGUCAGCGGUAGUACCGCUGGACUGGGGUUGUAAGUGGGGGUAACGGUCUGAUUCCUUCCCCACUAUAUAAAGGGGGUCUUCUUCCCCCUUGGCCUUAUCUAUCGGUUGAGCUCGUGUUCUUCCCCCAUUGUUGACCUUCUUAGAGCUUGUUAACUCUCAAUCCCUCCAAUGAUUCUUGCUUGUUCUUGAGGGAAAAGAGAGAGGAGAUCUAGAUCCACAUCUCCACCAAUCACUUUCUCCUCUAUGUGAGGGGAACCCCUUGGAUCUAGAUCUUGGAGUUCUUUGUGAACUCCUUGUUCUUCCUCUCAUAUUUCUUCAUAGCUUUUGUUGUUGUAGAGGGAUUUGAGUGUGAGGGACUUGACCACUUUGUUGGGGAAUGUCGCAUGGGAAACAAAAAAUUUCCUACGCGCACGAAGACCUAUCAUGGUGAUGUCCAUCUACGAGAGAGGAUUUCCGAUCUACGUACCCUUGUAGAUCGCACAACAGAAGCGUUAAGAAAUGCGGUUGAUGUAGUGGAACGUCCUCACGUCCCUCGAUCCGCCCCGCGAACCGUCCCACGAACCGUCCCGCGAUCCGUCCCACGAUCCGCUCCGAUCUAGUGCCGAACAUACGGCACCUCCGCGUUCAGCACACGUACAGCUCGACGAUGAUCUUGGCCUUCUUGAUCCAGCAAGAGAGACAGAGAGGUAGAUGAGUUCUCCGGCAGCGUGACGGCGCUCCGGAGGUUGGUGGUGAUCUAAUCUCAGCAGGGCUCCGCCCGAGCUCCGCAGAAACGCGAUCUAGAGGUAAAACCGUGGAGGUAUGUGGUCGGGCUGCCGUGGCAAAAGUUGUCUCAAAUCAGCCCUAAUAGCUCCAUAUAUAUAGGAGGAGGGGAGGGGAGGCUUGCCUUGAGGCUCAAGGAGCCCCAAGGGCUGCGCCACCAAGGGGAGGAGGAGUCCUCCUCCAAUCCUAGCCCAACUAGGAUUGGAAGGUGGAGUCCUUCUCUUCCUUCCCACCUCCUUUGAUUUUCUAUCUAUGGCGCAUAGGGCCUUCUUGGGCUGUCCCAGGAUCCCACCAAGGGCUGGUGCGCCACCCCCAAGGCCUAUGGGCUUCCCUGGGGUGGGCUGCCCCCCCGGUGAACAUCCGGAACCCAUUCGUCAUUCCCGGUGCAUUCCCGGUAACUCCGAAAACCUUCCGGUAAUCAAAUGAGGUCAUCCUAUAUAUCAAUCUUCGUUCCCGGACCAUUCCGGAAACCCUCGUGACGUCCGUGAUCUAAUCCGAGACUCCGAACAACAUUCGGUAACCAACCAUAUAAACUCAAAUACGCAUAAAACAACAUCGAACCUUAAGUGUGCAGACCCUGCGGGUUCGAGAACUAUGUAGACAUGACCCGAGAGACUCAUCGGUCAAUAUCCAAUAGCGGGACCUGGAUGCCCAUAUUGGAUCCUACAUAUUCUACGAAGAUCUUAUCCUUUGAACCUCAGUGCCAAGGAUUCAUAUAAUCCCGUAUGUCAUUCCCUUUGUCCUUCGGUAUGUUACUUGCCUGAGAUUCGAUCGUCAGUAUCCGCAUACCUAUUUCAAUUCCGUUUACCGGCAAGUCUCUUUACUCGUUCUGUAAUACAAGAUCCCGCAACUUACACUAAGUCACAUUGCUUGCAAGGCUUGUGUGUGAUGUUGUAUUACCGAGCGGGCCCCGAGAUACCUCUCCGUCAUACGGAGUGACAAAUCCCAGUCUUGAUCCAUACUAACUCAACGAACACCUUCGGAGAUACCUGUAGAGCAUCUUUAUAGUCACCCAGUUACGUUGCGACGUUUGAUACACACAAAGCAUUCCUCCGGUGUCAGUGAGUUAUAUGAUCUCAUGGUCAUAGGAAUAAAUACUUGACACGCAGAAAACAGUAGCAACAAAAUGACACGAUCAGCAUGCUACGUCUAUUAGUUUAGGUCUAGUCCAUCACAUGAUUCUCCUAACGAUGUGAUCCCGUUAUCAAGUAACAACACUUGCCUAUGGCCAGGAAACCUUGACCAUCUUUGAUCAAUGAGCUAGUCAACUAGAGGCUUACUAGGGACAGUGUUUUGUCUAUGUAUCCACACAAGUAUUGUGCUUCCAAUCAAUACAAUUAUAGCAUGGAUAAUAAACGAUUAUCAUGAACAAAGAAAUAUAGUAAUAACUAAUUAUUAUUGCCUCUAGGGCAUAUUUCCAACACACUUCGUGUGUUCUUGCCAUUGCAUUAGUUGGAUCGGUUUGAGUUCUCCACGAUAAUACGUGGAAGUGAUGGUUGAGAAGCUUAUUACUUUUUGGUACUCAGUACCCUAGAGUUUGUUCUUCGUGGAUGCUUUGGCGUCCUAGAAGCUUGGUGGUGUCUUGGAGCUCAAUCAUUGUGGUGUAAAGCUCCGGGCAAGCGUCGGGGUCUCCAAUUAGGUUGUGGAGAUUGCCCCGAGCAAUUUGUAUGGGUACUGGUAACCGCCCCCAAGGGUUGCCACGUGUACGGGUUCGGUGACCGCCUCCAAGGGUUGCCAUUUGUACGGGUUCAGUGACCACCCUCAAGGGUCCCUUAGUGGAAUCACGACAUCUUGCAUUGUGCGAGGGCGUGAGGAGAUUACGGUAGCCUUAGUGGCAUCUUGGGGAGCAUUGUGCCUCCACACCGCUCCAACGGAGAUUAGCAUCCGCAAGGGUGUGAACUUCAGGAUACAUCAUUGUCUACGCGUGCCUCGGUUAUCUCUUACCCAAACCCUUUACUUAUGCACUUUACUUUGUGAUAGACAUAUUGUUUAUUGUCAUAUAUCUUGCUAUCACUUAGUUGUUUAUCUUGCUUAGCAUAAGUUGUUGGUGCACAUAGGUGAGCCUAGUUGUUUUAGGUUUUGUGCUUGACAAAUUAAACGUUAGUUUUAUUCCGCAUUUGUUCAAGCCUAAACCGUAAUUAUUUUAAAGCGCCUAUUCACCCCCUCUAGGCGACAUCCACGUCCUUUCACAUUGGACCUGACAAACUAAGCAUUUCAGAAUUUGGUGAAAAGUACUAGUAAUUUGGCAACUAAGCUUUUCAUAAACUGACGACCAGGUAUCCACAAUCUGACAAUUGAAGGUGAUAAAUGGACGACCGAGUAUCCACAAUCUGACAACUGAAGAUGAUAAACUUGGUGACAACUAAGUACUUUUUAUUUCCUGACAACUAAGUAAUUUGUGUUUUCUAGCAACUAAGCAUGUUUAACAUGACAACAAAUAAUGUGUAUUCACAACUAACUACUUGUCAUUAAUAGGAACUAACUACUAGCAUCUUGACAACUAAGUUUUUAUAAAAUUGGCAACUAUGCAAUUUUAAACUACUACUAGUAGUACUAGUACUAACCAGAUGUAUUUAGCUAGUGAAUAAGGUGUGCCAACACAUGUUUUGUGUGUGACACUUUUUAUACUUUUGUGGUGCCAUCUGCAUAUCCUUCUAGCCCAUGUUGUUGUGUGCUAAAAUAUGGAUACAUGCUGGUGUGCGCUAAAAUAUGGAUACAUGCUGCACAUGGUUCACAUCGAGAAAAAUGGCAAUUAAGUUAUUUUUUCUGGCAAGUAAGUGACAAAUAAUAUGACCAGUAUGUCCAAAAAUGUGGCAAUUAGGGGUUUAGAAAUAAUUUCUCGAAACAUGUCGACAUGGGUCUAGUUUUGAAGAUCUCGUCGCGACAAAGCCAACGAUGAAAACGGAUCGUUAAUUAUAUUAACGGUUUUAGAGAUAAAACCUUUUAGAUUUCAAUGCAAUAGAGAGAAUCUUGAUGAUCUCAUUGCAUGCAUGCAUGGUAGGGAGAGGGAAUUAGCCGCUGCAUGGAAAGACUCACAUGCGGCGCCACUGUGUAGUUAGGUCCAAGAUUAUAAUAGAACUCCGACAUGCUUGGGUGGCUGCAGACCAAACGACCAUGGUAGAAGGAACCAUGGGCAUGUGUGCUAGCCGGCGUCAAUGCUGCUAGCGCCGCCGCUGUACCAACAGCCUCUCAGCGACGUUGUCAAUAAGGUCGGGCACAAUGAAAAUGGCAGAGCAAACUCUUCUUGGAGCAGCUAGUGAUAAUACGGAUCUCUGCUCGAAGCAGAGGAGCAAAGAACUCUGCGAUCUUCUCAGGGGUGGCCUCCGAUCCACAACGGCGUCCGCCUCGCAAACUAAGGCGCCUCGUCCGCCAUCAGGGCGCCCACAUGCCGCGUCCUGUUGGCUUGUGGGGGCCUCGUGCGCUUUCCGACCUUUUUUCGAUUCUUAACGGUCUUGUUUUGGUUCGGAAAAAAAUCAUGAGAAGUUUCAGGUCAAUUGGGCUUUGUUUGGUACUGAAAUUAGAAAAGUGAAAAACAUGUAGAAAACAACAACUAGCACUGGGGAGUGGAUCAAUAGGUUAGUGCUAAAAAAUAAUAUAAAUUGGUAGCUAAGUGCUUAAAAAGUGUUCUAAAAUGAUAACAUAAUAGCACGAAACAAUCAAAAAUUAUAGAUACAUUGGAGACGUAUCAAGCAUCCCAAGCUUAAUUCCUGCUCGUGCUCGAGUAGGUAAAUGAUGAAAACAAAAUUUUUGAUGUUACAUGCUAUCCAUGAUGUAUUCUUAUGCAUGUAUGUACAUUGAGAAAUGAUGAAUUAACAAAUAUUAGCAGAAUAAUAUUCAUAAGUAUAAGCAACAAAACAAUUAAUUUUUGAAAGUGUACGAUCCUCAAAGAUUGUUUCAACCAUAUCCAUCUUUAUUAUAUUAGCAAGGCAUGGCUCCAUCUUCACCACAUAACUAAAAAUGUCAAGCACCGCGGUGUUCAAGUCAGGCAAUUGGAUCGUACCUUUUUAAUAAGAAUCAUUUUUUUAUUCUUUAAGAAAUACAUGAGCGUGAACCAUUGGACAUAGCAUAUAGGUGGAAUAUUGUAAGGUGGUAGGUUUCAAAGGGGUUGGAAAGUGAAGAAGAUAGUCUCAUAUCAACUUAGCGUACCAACGGGCUAUUGAGAUGCCCAUCGAUAGAUAUUGACACAAGGAGUAGGGAUUGCCAUGCAAAUGAUGCACUAGAGUUAUAAGUGUAUGGAAAAUCCACUGAAGCUAGGUGGGGUGUGCAUCCAACUCGCUUGCUCAUGAAGACCUCGGGCAUUUGGGGAAGCCCGUUAUCUGAAUAUACAAGCCAAGUUUAUAUUUUUUUUCAUUCCCACUAGCAUACGAAAGAUAUAACAUGAGACUCUCUACAUGAUGAACAUGUUGCCACUUUUAGGCAAAAGUGUGGUAAAGGAUAGUAGGAAAGUCCCUUCACUUUUUUUUCUCUCAUUCAUUUCUUUAUGGUGGGCUGGAUCCUCGCUGAUUGCGUUGAUUUCCCUCCAAGCUUAAAGGGUGGUGUAACACAGUGACGACAAGUAUUUCCUCAGUUAUGAACCAAGGUAUCAAUCGAGUAGGAAGGUUCACAAAACUAUGUAAGCAGUACCUGCACACAAAUAACAAAUCCUCACAACCCAACACGUGUAGGGGCUGUCAAUCCCUCGUGGGUAAAAUAGGAAGUUAAAAGGAUGGAUUGAUAGAUGCAAAUAAAGUAAUGGUAAAUAAAAUGCAACAAGGUAUUUUGGGUCUUUUGAUAAUAUAGAUCUGAAAAUAAAAGAGCAAAUAAAUUGGAAACGAGAAUAACAAAAUAGAUCUUGCAAAUAGAUGAUGUAAAAUAGACUCGGGAGCCGUAGGUUUCAGUAGUGGCUUCUCUCGAGAAAAUAGCUUCGCUGGGUAGACAAAGUAUUGUUGGGCAAUUGAUAGAAGAGCGAAUAAUUAUGAUGAUAUCCAAGACAAUGAUCAUGUAUAUAGGCAUCACGUCAAAGACAAGUAGACCGACUCUUGCCUGCAUCUACUACUAUUACUCCACACAUCGACCACUAUCAAGCAUGCAUCUAGUGUAUUAAGUUCAUGGAGAAACGGAGUAAUGAUUUAAGAACGAUGACAUGAUGUAGACAAGAUGUACUCAUGUAGGAAUAGACACCAUCGUUUUAUCCUUAACUAACUCGUGGCCCUGUGCCGAUGAGAGAAGGCCCAACAACAUACACAUAUUAUGAUUCUAAAAAUGCAACAUGCACUGAAUGAAUAAUAAUAAUUAAACCUUCUAUAUGCCUUAGCACAACACAUCUAGAUUAGUGAUGGCAAGGCUAGCGAUGCGGGAUCCCGAGGUCGCCUGUUCGAAUCCUCAAGAACAUACCAUGGCUGAAAUCUUUAUUAUUUACUCCACGGGAUUAGCAAUAUAAAACCUUAAUACCUUGGUUAGAAAAAAUAAAGAAAGAUGGGGACUAUUCCAUGAAAAUGUGACGAUGAACCGAUGGAAGCAACAACCCUUUUAUUAGGGUCUUCUAUCUAUUCUAUUCUAUAUGCCUUAACACAACACGUCUGGGGUGGUGAUGACAAGGCUAGCGAUGCGGGCUCCCGGGGUUGCCUGUUCGAAUCCUCAAGAACAUACCAUGGCUGAAAACUUUAUUAAAUACUCCACGGGAUUAACAAUAUAAAACCAUAAUACCUUGGUUAGAAAAAAUAAAAAAAUAUAGGGACUAUUCCAUGAAAAUGCGACGAUGAACCGACGGAAGCAACAACCAUUUUAUUAGGGUCUUCUAUCUAUUCUAUUAUGUAUGCCUUAUAACACAACACGUCUGGGUUGGUGAUGGCAAGGCUAGCGAUACGGGCUCCCGAGGUUGCCUGUUCGUAUCCUCAAAAACAUACCAUGGCUGAAUUUUUUUAUUUGCUCCAUGGGAUUAGCAAUAUAAAACCUUAAUAUCUUGGUUAGAGAAAAUAAAGAAAGAUUGGAACGAUUCUGUAGAAAUGUUGAGGUGAACCGAUGCAAGCAAUAGCCCUUUUAUAAGUAGGUAUAGAUAUAGAUAUAGAUAAUGUUUCCUUGUAAAAAAAAACUAGUU